GCACAAGCGGUGGAGCAUGUGGUUUAAUUCGACGCAACGCGCAGAACCUUACCAGCCCUUGACAUGUCCGGGACCGGUCGCAGAGACGUGACCUUCUCUUCGGAGCCCGGAACACAGGUGCUGCAUGGCUGUCGUCAGCUCGUGUCGUGAGAUGUUGGGUUAAGUCCCGCAACGAGCGCAACCCCCGUCCUUAGUUGCUACCAUUCAGUUGAGCACUCUAAGGAGACUGCCGGUGAUAAGCCGCGAGGAAGGUGGGGAUGACGUCAAGUCCUCAUGGCCCUUACGGGCUGGGCUACACACGUGCUACAAUGGCGGUGACAAUGGGAUGCGAAGGCGCAAGCCCUGGCAAAUCUCAAAAAGCCGUCUCAGUUCGGAUUGGGCUCUGCAACUCGAGCCCAUGAAGUUGGAAUCGCUAGUAAUCGUGGAUCAGCACGCCACGGUGAAUACGUUCCCGGGC
rnacentral:rRNA from 1 species